GUGGUCAAAGGCUUGCACCCAUUUGCCACAGCAGAUGCCCCCGAUUUUCGGGCGUGGUUUGUUGCACGGCUGCAGGGGAGGCUGACACACCGGAGCUGCAUCAGCUCAUCACACCUCCCUUGUAUAAAACGUGCCGGGACCUGAGGUUGGGGUUGUUGUUGUUGUUGUGUGUGGGACACAGCUGAAAAGCUGUGGCCGUGUGUUAGAGGAAGAUCAACCAGAAUAAAAAAAGAACAAACUA